GCUUUUAUGCUUCAGGAGCACAGGGAGCUGCCUCAUACAUAGUCAGACCACUGGGUCAUAUGCCCCAAUAUUGUUCACUGGCCGACAGAAUGGUUUCUCCUGGCCCAACCUGGAUAUUCAUAGUAGUUUUCCCUUUGAAUACUGCCCAGAUCUGGGCUUUGUGAGCUUCUAAAAGCAGACAAGAUCAGAUGUCUGCAGAGUGGGAUUGUGAUUUCUCAUAAUUAAGAAUAGAGUUGCCAAAGACAAAAUUUCGGGGUGAUAGUGCUGCCUUGAAAAUGUGUGUACACAGGUUGGGUGUGCCUCAUUCAAAAUAUUUGGGACCAGAUUUAUUUUAUUUCAUUUUAUUUUAGAUUUUGGAAUGACUGCAUUUGCACAUAUCUAGAUAAUGAGGCAUCUUGGAGAUGGGAUCCAAGUCGAAACACAAAAUUCAUUUAUGUUUCAGACUAAUGUUAAUGUACCUUCAUAAGCCCUCAUUCAUAUAUAGUUUCAAGUUUAGGUUUGACUGAGGGAUCUAGUUCAGUGAGACAGAUCCAUAAACCUUUAAUUGUCCUGUGCCGACGGUCUCAAAUUAAUUCUCUAUCACCCACACUUUUCAGCUGCUUCAAAAUGCCCCAGUUUCUUUCUUCUGCUGCCAUCUUACCGCUUUGAUCUCACAUUACUUCAACUGCCGCAAACAAAAUGUAAAGAAUGUAAAGGGAAGAAGAGAUAGUGAAGUCUUGCCCGUCCCAGUGGGUUCAGUGAUGCUGUAACCCACCUUGAGCCAUGAGGAGAGGCAGACAAAGAGGAAUUUUCUGGAGUUCACAGCGCUGAAUAUUUCCAUAUGGAAUUUUUGACAUGUGCAAAGAAACUCCCCAAUGCUUCAAUUUGACUCGGGGCACAAGGAACAUCUCUGUACUGACCUUACGGGGGACAUGUUGAUUUGUUUCACAGAUUAUUAUUGGCCUUUGACUCUGAAGCAGCCACUUAAAAUCAACUUAGGUCAUAGAGAAGGACAAAAAUUGGCCAUAAAAUAAUGGCAUGCCAUCACCAGCUCUAGCAUCAAUUUAUGCCUUUAAAGAUGAGUAAGGAAGAACGAUUCAUGUGGUGAAAUCAAUAUCAUUUGUAAAAGAGGGAAAUAAAAACUCAUUGGAAGCUUGCCAGGGUGAAUUAGGAAUUCAGAUUGCAGUCCAUCUAAAUGUUUUCCACUGAAGAGAAGAAACUAAGGUUGCGAGUACUGCUUCCUGCUUCCAACAACUUCAUGCUGUCUAACAUGACAUAUGUGACUAAAAAACUCUGCAUGUGGUCAAGAAACCCUGAGUAUAGUCAAGAUAGCAAUAAGUAUAUAGAAACUAGCAGUUGUUUGCUUUUGCCUGAGUCUACAGGGAAGGAUAUGAUUCUGCCAGGAUAGAUUUGACAGCUAAAUCAGGUGUAAGAAUUCAAUACACAACUGGAGACUUGCCUCUUCCGGCAGGCCUAUCCAGUCAAUUUUAACUUGUGAAUUUUAAUCUGAAGUUUAUUGGUGUGGUCUUGUGUUUAUGUUGCUAUAUGUAUUUUAAUAAGUGUGUGUUUUAUCUCUGUUUCAGCUCUGUUGUACCCCAAAUGGACCCGCAAUUAUUAUUAUUAUUAUUAUUAUUAUUAUUAUUAUCAUCAUCAUUAUUAUUAUUCUCCUCUGCCCUUGCUGAGUUAACUGAGUGCAAACUACAUUUUAGGAACUAAAGUCAUUUGAGGGCUAAGGUUAAAAAUAAGAAGGGAACGAGGAACUGGAAGAUUUUGAAAGCAAGUGAAAUAGUAAGACGACAGGGGAUUAAUCUACACUAGGCAUGGGCAAACUUCAGCCCUCUAGGUGUUUUGGACUCCGACUCCCACAAUUCCUAACAGCCGGUAAGACCAAAAAAUAAGACACAAGAGUAAAGACAAAGAUCCAGACAGAGUAAAAGUAUUCUUACCAUACAUCAAGGAGCCGCCAGCGGCAUAGUGCGUUAAGCCCUUGUGCCGGCAGAACUGAUGGCUUGAAGGUUGGAUUGCUGACUUGAAGGUUACCAGUUUGAAUCCAACCUAGGGAGACCACGGAUGAGCUCCCUAUGUCAGCUCCAGCUCCAUGUGGGGACAUGAGAGAAGCCUCCCACAAGGGUGGCAAAAAUAUCAAAAACAUCCAGGUGUCUUCCUUGCAGACGGCCAAUUCACUCUCACCAGAAGCAACUUGCAAUUUCUCAAGUCACUCCUGACACGGAAAAACAAAAAACAUACAUCAAGGGAACCACUGACCGCAUAGGGAAGCUGAUGAUGAAACACAACCUACAAACUAUCUACAAACCCACUAAGAAAAUCCAAUAAAUGCUACGUUUAGCAAAGGACAAGAGGGAUCCUCUCACCUCUGCAUUAGUCUACUUUAUAACAUGCCGCUGUGGACAAGUUUACAUAGGGACCACCAAAUGCAGCAGCAUUGCCCAAACACGAAUCAAAGAACAUGAAAGGUGCUGCAGACUUAUCCAACCUGAGAAGUCAGCCAUAGCAGAGCACUUGAUGAAACAACCUGGACACAGCAUAUUAUUUGAGAACACAGAAAUGCUGGGCCACUCUAACAACCACCAUGUCAGAUUACACAAAAAUGAACAAAAUUUGGCUACCAGUAUUAAAAAAAACUAUAAAAUCAGGACAGUAAAUAAAGAACAACACUCAAAAACAGGGGAAUUCCAGACAAGAAACAAUUAGGGCCAGCAAAUCACCUCCCAACAAAAGAUUUCCCCAGGCAGGAAGCAGCCAGGUCUUGAAGCUGAAAGGCUAUUCAGUGCUAAUCAAGGUGGCCAAUUGCAACAUUCACACUUGCCUCAAACAGACAAGAGUUCUUUCUCCCACCCUGGACAUUCCACAGGUAUAUAAAGCCCACUUGCCUAGUUUCCAACAGACGUCACAACCUUUGAGGAUGCCUGCCAUAGAUGCGGGCGAAAUGUCAGGAGAGAAUGCUUCUGGAACAUUGCCGUACAGCCCAGAAAACUCACACAACCCACUUGUCUUUACCAUAUUACACAAAUGUAAUGUACUCAACAAAAUUCAAAAUAGGAGUAGGAGUAAGAAUUGUAUUUUGUAUUAUUUCUAUAUUGUAAGACGCUUUAAGCCUCAUUUAAAAGAGGAAAGUGGAACGACGACGACAACAACAACAAUAAAUGGGUUGGAUUUUU